rnacentral:tRNA from 1 species
GCGUUCAUAGCUCAGUUGGUUAGAGCACCACCUUGACAUGGUGGGUUCGUUGGUUCGAGUCCAAUUGAACGCACCA